GAACGGGUGAGUAACGUGGGCAAUCUGCCCUGCACUCUGGGACAACCCUGGAAACGGGUAAUACCGGAUACUACCUGCCAAGGCUUCGGGUCGAAAGUCCGGCGGUGCAGGAUGAGCCCGCGGCCUAUCAGCUUGUUGGUGAGGUAAUGGCUCACCAGGCGACGACGGGUAGCCGGCCUGAGAGGGCGACCGGCCACACUGGGACUGAGACACGGCCCAGACUCCUACGGGAGGCAGCAGUGGGGAAUAUUGCACAAUGGGCGAAAGCCUGAUGCAGCGACGCCGCGUGAGGGAUGACGGCCUUCGGGUUGUAAACCUCUUUCAGCAGGGAAGAAGGACGGUACCUGCAGAAGAAGCGCCGGCU
rnacentral:rRNA from 2 species